GAACCUACAAGAACAACAAUGACCUUCAGCAGCAUAUUGAUCUGGACACUGGCAGCAUUAUGUGGAGAAUGUAUUGGUCAGGUGACAGUGACUCAAACUCCCUCAGUGCUGCUCUCUGAACCUGGACGAUCACUCACUGUCAACUGCAGAUUCAGCAGUGAUCCAGUGUGUUGUUGCAGUAGUAAACAGUGUGUUAGCUGGUACUUACAGAAACCAGGAGAAGCUCCAAAACUCCUGAUCUAUGGAACAAGCAGCCGUCAAUCAGGAACUGCAUCUAGAUUCAGUGGCAGUGGAUCUAAUGUUGAUUUCACUCUGAGCAUCAGUGGAGUCCAGACUGAAGAUGCUGGACAUUAUUACUGUCAGAGUUACCACAGUGGUGGUGUGUUGACACAGUGAUAAAGAGUGGUACAAAAACCUCCAUCAGUCAGUCAGAGUCACAGAGACUGAACUGAUCCUGGAGCAGCUCACAGGAGGAUGUGAAACUACAGUCACUCAAGCAUCAGAAAUAAAAUCAUCCAGAUGAAUCUGUCGCUCUUCAUCAUCAUAGAGAGCAAAAGUCAAAGCAUUAGUGGACACAAA